GACGAACGCUGGCGGCGUGCCUAAUACAUGCAAGUAGAACGCACAGUUUAUACCGUAGCUUGCUACACCAUAGACUGUGAGUUGCGAACGGGUGAGUAACGCGUAGGUAACCUGCCUGGUAGCGGGGGAUAACUAUUGGAAAUGAUAGCUAAUACCGCAUAAUAUUAAUUAUUGCAUGAUAAUUAAUUGAAAGGUGCAAUUGCACCACUACCAGAUGGACCUGCGUUGUAUUAGCUAGUAGGUGAGGUAACGGCUCACCUAGGCGACGAUACAUAGCCGACCUGAGAGGGUGAUCGGCCACACUGGGACUGAGACACGGCCCAGACUCCUACGGGAGGCAGCAGUAGGGAAUCUUCGGCAAUGGACGAAAGUCUGACCGAGCAACGCCGCGUGAGUGAAGAAGGUUUUCGGAUCGUAAAGCUCUGUUGCAAGAGAAGAACGGGUGUGAGAGUGGAAAGUUCACACUGUGACGGUAUCUUACCAGAAAGGGACGGCUAACUACGUG
rnacentral:rRNA from 1 species